rfam:Bartonella clarridgeiae strain 73, complete genome
AGGGGUAUAGCUCAGUUGGUAGAGCGGCGGUCUCCAAAACCGCAGGUCGCGGGUUCAAGUCCUGCUGCCCCUG